rnacentral:rRNA from 1 species
GAUGAACGCUGGCGGCGUGCCUAAUACAUGCAAGUCGAGCGAACGGACGAGAAGCUUGCUUCUCUGAUGUUAGCGGCGGACGGGUGAGUAACACGUGGAUAACCUACCUAUAAGACUGGGAUAACUUCGGGAAACCGGAGCUAAUACCGGAUAAUAUUUUGAACCGCAUGGUUCAAAAGUGAAAGACGUUCUUGCUGUCACUUAUAGAUGUAUCCGCGCUGCAUUAGCUAGUUGGUAAGGUAACGGCUUACCAAGGCAACGAUGCAUAGCCGACCUGAGAGGGUGAUCGGCCACACUGGAACUGAGACACGGUCCAGACUCCUAAGGGAGGCAGAAGUAGGGAAUCGUCCGCAAUGGGCGAAAGCCUGACGGAGCAACGCCGCGUGAGUGAUGAAGGUCUUCGGAUCGUAAAACUCUGUUAUUAGGGAAGAACAUAUGUGUAAGUAACUGUGCACAUCUUGACGGUACCUAAUCAGAAAGCCACGGCUAACUACGUG